UACAGAGGUCCCAAGCGUUGUUCGGAUUCACUGGGCGUAAAGGGUGCGUAGGUGGCAAGGUAAGUUCGGUGUGAAAUCUCCGGGCUCAACUCGGAAAGGUCAUUGGAUACUAUCUUGCUUGAGGGUCGGAAGGGAGACUGGAAUUCUCGGUGUAGCAGUGAAAUGCGUAGAUAUCGAGAGGAACACCGGUGGCGAAGGCGAGUCUCUGGACGACACCUGACACUGAGGCACGAAAGCUAGGGGAGCAAACAGG
rnacentral:misc_RNA from 1 species